GACGAACGCUGGCGGCGUGCUUAACACAUGCAAGUCGAACGGAAAGGCCCUGCUUUUGUGGGGUGCUCGAGUGGCGAACGGGUGAGUAACACGUGAGUAACCUGCCCUUGACUUUGGGAUAACUUCAGGAAACUGGGGCUAAUACCGGAUAGGAGCUCCUGCUGCAUGGUGGGGGUUGGAAAGUUUCGGCGGUUGGGGAUGGACUCGCGGCUUAUCAGCUUGUUGGUGGGGUAGUGGCUUACCAAGGCUUUGACGGGUAGCCGGCCUGAGAGGGUGACCGGCCACAUUGGGACUGAGAUACGGCCCAGACUCCUACGGGAGGCAGCAGUGGGGAAUAUUGCACAAUGGGCGGAAGCCUGAUGCAGCAACGCCGCGUGCGGGAUGACGGCCUUCGGGUUGUAACCCGCUUUCGCCUGUGACGAAGCGUGAGUGACGGUAAUGGGUAAAGAAGCACCGGCUAACCACGUG
rnacentral:rRNA from 1 species